AGACUUAAUGUACAGCCCCUUAAAUGAAGGACAGACCUCUUGAGGCCACCUUCAGCUGGCAUCCUCCAGCUCUGCCCCCCAGGAUGCCUCUUAAACCCCAAGGCUCACCCAGAAGAGGACUUGGGACUCUUGAAACAAAUUUGGCUUUGCAAUUUCUGUAGCUCCAAUACAAUCUCGAAGGCAGCCAGGGGUUCCCUGUUUCCCACUUAACAACACCUGAAGACAUCUGUCUUCCCACCACAGUCUGCAGAUUCUCUGGGCAGGUGCUGGACCACGACAGUGGCACAGUCUGGACGGGUCUGGGAUGGAGGUGUGGUUCCGUGGCACAGCACAGGCUUGGCAUGCACGUCGCCCUGGGUUUGAUGCCCAGCAUCAAACAAAUCAGAACAUCUGGGAAAGUUGCCAGACAGGCUGGAAGGAGUCGGAGGAGCUAAAAACAUGCUCCAUCCAUGACCUUUACUGCAAGAGCCCUUGAUGUGCAUACUGUGGUCCCUUCUUGUCCAUGGAGAGGUUUCUGAGACCGUAAGUGCAUACCUGAAACUGUGGACACCAUCGACUCCUGCAAUUUAUUGCCUUUUCCUUGACUCAGCACUUCCAUGCACCAUGGCCAGGACUUGCAGUUUGAGGUGUGACAGAAAAACUAACCUGAUCUUUUUUCCUUUUUUCACAACUUCAUGGAUAGAAGAUUCUUAUGGUAGAUCUUAACAACUCCAGCAUAUGAUUUUUUACUUUCCUCAUAAGUCAAGAACUUUCAUUUUUUUUUCACUUAAAGGAAGAACACUGAAGCUUCUUUUCAGUGUAUCUGCAUUGCCAGCAUCAGUACUUUUUUUUUUUUGCUGGCGGAGCUGGAACCCAGGACCUCAUGCAUGGUAGGCAAGUGCUGUAAAACUGAGCUUCACGCUAGGCCCAGCAUUAUUACUCUUGUUCUUUGGAGUUAUUGCAAAGUAAAAUAAGGUUUACCUGAAUGUAAGCACUACAAUACCUUGACAGUGAUACCUUGACACUGAGAUGGCUAGUAAAUGACUAAAAGGCAGGUAGCAUAUACAGGGUGGAUAUGCUGAACAAAGGCAUGAUUCACAUCUUGGGUGGGACAGAGUGGGAUGGCAAGAGAUUUUAAUCAUGCUACUCAGAAUGACAUCCAAUUUAAAAUUUAUGACGUUUAUUUCUGGAAUUUUCCAUUUAAUACUUUCAAAGUAUAGUGGAGCACAGGUAACAAACUGCUGCAAGUGAAACCAAAGAUAAGGGGAGUCUAUGGCAUUUAUAAUUGUUUGGCAUCCUAGGACUUCAGUCAGUCAGAUAAUUGUGGAAUGCGUAGUGUCUGGGGGUCAAUGGAGUUGCCUAAAUGAGAAAUUUUCAGCUAGGGGCAAUUCUGUCCCUCAGGUGACACUUUCCUGGGUCUGAACAUUUUCAUCAUUACAACUGGGGAAUGCUACUGGCCCCUGGUGCACAGAGGCCAGGGAUGCUGCUUCAUGUCCUUCAACUCACAGGACAUUUCCCAGAGCAAAGAAUUAUUGGACCCCAAAUGUCAAAGCCAACAGUGCCAAGUGGAGGGACAGUGGUUUAGAGUUUUCAGGUUUUUGACCAACAUAUUGUUACAGUUAAUCACAGAUACAUGCUUAUAGGAAUGUACCAAGAAUCCAUAAACCCGGAAGUGGCAUUUCUUAAUGUUUUAAUAUAAUGGGAGUCUUAAAAAAAUGGAAUA